GAGAAGCCUCUGGUCGAUAGAACAAUGUAGGUAAGGGAAGUCGGCAAAUCGGAUCCGUAACUUCGGGACAAGGAUUGGCUCUGAGGAUUGGGGCAGUCGGGCCGGAUCAGGAAGUAGUGUGUGCUCACGUGCUGGGCCUGGACAAGACUCUCACGGGUUGAGUUCGGUCCCAUGCCGCGGCCUGCUAUGGAUUGGUUCGGCUAGGAGUGCCAUUGGCUGUAACAAGCUGGUGGAAUCACACUCUUCGGCUUCCCAUUGAACAAUCAACUCAGAACUGGCACGGACCGGGGGAAUCCGACUGUCUAAUUAAAACAAAGCAUUGUGAUGGCUCUUGCGGGUGUUGACACAAUGUGAUUUCUGCCCAGUGCUUUGAAUGUCAAAGUGAAGAAAUUCAUCCAAGCGCAAGUAAACGGCGGGAGUAACUAUGACUCUCUUAAGGUAGCCAAAUGCCUCGUCAUCUAAUUUAGUGACGCGCAUGAAUGGAUUAACGAGAUUCCCACUGUCCCUAUCUACUAUCUAGCGAAACCACAGCCAAGGGAACGGGCUUGGGCCCAUCGGCGGGGAAAGAAGACCCUGUUGAGCUUGACUCUAGUCCGGCAUUGUGAGGAGACACGAGAGGUGUAGCAUAAGUGGGAGAUUUCGGUCGACUUUGAAAUACCACUACUCCCGUCGUUUCCUCACUUACUCGGUGAGGCGGGGAGCGGCUGUUAAUAUCUUCGGAUGUUGCAGUCGGAAUUGUUGAGCCAAGUUCCUAGUCACUUAGAGUGCGGGUAUAUUAUGGAGGGUGCAUUUCGGUGUAUCUAAAGUUUUAUACUGGAACGACUCGAUCCGAGGACACCGCCAGGCG
rnacentral:rRNA from 1 species